rnacentral:rRNA from 1 species
CACGUAGGGGGCAAGCGUUGUCCGGAUUUAUUGGGCGUAAAGAGCUCGUAGGUGGCUGAGUAAGUCGGAUGUUAAAUCCCCAGGCUCAACCUGGGACACCACCCGAUACUGCUCUGGCUAGAGUCCGGUAGGGGAGCGUGGAAUUCCUGGUGUAGCGGUGAAAUGCGUAGAUAUCAAGAGGAACACCUGAGGUGAAGACGGGUUGCUGGGGCUGACACUGACGCUGAGGCGCGAAAGCUAGGGGAGCAAACGGG